rnacentral:lncRNA from 1 species
GACAUUAGCAGGGAGUACCUGAGGGAGAAAGGAGGGGUGUGUGGGUCCGCAUCAGGGCGGCAGGGGUUGAGCGCUAUCUAUGAGUUAACAGUGUCACUAAACCAUCAUCACGAGUUACAGAGGAGAGUGUCUCGUCUGCAGAUAAUUCUGGGAGUGAACAACCACAAUCAGCCAGGAAGAUACGGGAGCUGUGUUCAAAACUCAAGGUCAAAGAUAGUGCAGCCAGGUGUAGGCAUCACCUCUCCUUGUUUAUGACACUUAUUGGUAUGGCUGGGUGAUGGCUGUGAGAUUAAUAACUUAUUUGCGUGGAGGUGCAAGAAUAAGGAUUUUCAAGCUUCAGCGGAAGACAGGGGACACAGGUUACGUAAGGGUUUAGAUUUUGUUCAGUACCAAAUUGAAACUAAACUUUGUCAAGCCAAACUUAAGUCCCUUGUGUAUGUGUCCCUCUCUUGAGCUUAGUAAAAUCAUCUGGUGUCUCUGUAGUCUAGGGGCUAAAAUAUGUCAUCAUUUUGUUUUAGUCACAAGAAAAUUUUGAGUGUUGUGAAUAUUUCUCAUCUUUUGUGUACAGUCUUUGUUGAUUUUCAUUGUGUACUGUAUAUUAUAGUUCUGGUUCAGCAUUGUCAGUGUUUAGGCUUCUUGGCUGCCAGCUGUGUGAUGUGUUAUUAUUUUCUUGUGUUAGUUAAUGUAUUAUGGGAGUCCUGUACAGUAUUUGAUUGAGUUUAUCCCAUAUUGUGGUUCCUCGUGUGUGUGUGUGUGUUCCGGAAUUGAGUAUAGUUAUGUUAUGUUCUGUGUAUGUGUUACUGUUUGUGUAUUUGCUGGUCUGUGCUUUGCUGGUCUUCCGAGGACUAUGUUUCUUACUGUCUGUCAGUGCCAUAGCAAUGAGGAGGCAGCACGGGGGCCAUUAUUAAGCGUGACUCAUAAUAGAUUUGGAAAUUUGCUAAACAUAAAUUAUAUAUUCAGUUCUAGUCUUGAUCCAACUAAUUUAAAAGAAUAUUGGCAAAAUUUUCCAAGUUUUUAUUCGUCUCAUGUUGCGGAAGAUUCACUCUGUCGGGAUAUAAUGGACUGCCAUAUGCUGCUUAUGAAUGGCCAAGCUAUCACAGUGCUGACAAAUGCUGGAGAACUCUUUAAAGUCAUUAUCAUGUAUGGCAGAUAUGUUUUCCCUGAUGUUGGCAUAGCACUUGUUUUAAUGCUGACUAUGGCUGUCUCGGUGGCUUCUUGUAAGCCAACAUUUAGCCAUCUAAAAAUAAUUAAAAACCACCUCUUAUCAUCUAUGAAACAGGAGAGCCUUUCAUACCUCUCAUUACUCUCAAUUGUGUUAACAUUUCUAGAGUGUGUUGAUGCUGACGGGAUCAUAGAUUUAUUUAUUUGUAGCUUAUUCAGUAUAGCUUGAGUUGUAGUCUACUAACAUGAACCUAUUUUAAAUCAUUGUAUAUUUUUCAUAAGUAAGUUUAUAUAGCUUCAUGUUGUGAGUUUGGGUAGUGAGUAAAGUUGGGUAAUCUUGUAUUUAGGUCCUUCACGCCAGACUUUAUCAAAAGCUUUUAGACACAUCUGUAAGUAUAAUGCUGCACUGAUCUCUGUUGUUGGCACUAUAGGUGUGUUUGUACCUCUGUUUUUGUAGAAUCCAUGUUGCCUCGGGUUUUACUAAUCAGUGCUCGUCUUCGAGGUAUAGUAAUAUCUUUGUGAGGCAGAAUCCCUCAAACCCCAUAACUCUCCGCUAGCCGGAAUUUAAAUUUUCUCGGAAAAUCGUUCCCAAAGCCGGAAUUUUCCA